rnacentral:rRNA from 1 species
UUAAGCGACUAAGCGUACACGGUGGAUGCCCUGGCAGUCAGAGGCGAUGAAGGACGUGCUAAUCUGCGAUAAGCGUCGGUGAGGUGAUAUGAACCGUUAUAACCGGCGAUUUCCGAAUGGGGAAACCCAGUGUGUUUCGACACACUAUCAUUAACUGAAUCCAUAGGUUAAUGAGGCGAACCGGGGGAACUGAAACAUCUAAGUACCCCGAGGAAAAGAAAUCAACCGAGAUUCCCCCAGUAGCGGCGAGCGAACGGGGAGGAGCCCAGAGCCUGAAUCAGUGUGUGUGUUAGUGGAAGCGUCUGGAAAGGCGCGCGAUACAGGGUGACAGCCCCGUACACAAAAAUGCACAUACUGUGAGCUCGAUGAGUAGGGCGGGACACGUGGUAUCCUGUCUGAAUAUGGGGGGACCAUCCUCCAAGGCUAAAUACUCCUGACUGACCGAUAGUGAACCAGUACCGUGAGGGAAAGGCGAAAAGAACCCCGGCGAGGGGAGUGAAAAAGAACCUGAAACCGUGUACGUACAAGCAGUGGGAGCCUCUUAAUGGGGUGACUGCGUACCUUUUGUAUAAUGGGUCAGCGACUUAUAUUCUGUAGCAAGGUUAACCGAAUAGGGGAGCCGAAGGGAAACCGAGUCUUAACUGGGCGUUAAGUUGCAGGGUAUAGACCCGAAACCCGGUGAUCUAGCCAUGGGCAGGUUGAAGGUUGGGUAACACUAACUGGAGGACCGAACCGACUAAUGUUGAAAAAUUAGCGGAUGACUUGUGGCUGGGGGUGAAAGGCCAAUCAAACCGGGAGAUAGCUGGUUCUCCCCGAAAGCUAUUUAGGUAGCGCCUCGUGAAUUCAUCUCCGGGGGUAGAGCACUGUUUCGGCAAGGGGGUCAUCCCGACUUACCAACCCGAUGCAAACUGCGAAUACCGGAGAAUGUUAUCACGGGAGACACACGGCGGGUGCUAACGUCCGUCGUGAAGAGGGAAACAACCCAGACCGCCAGCUAAGGUCCCAAAGUCAUGGUUAAGUGGGAAACGAUGUGGGAAGGCCCAGACAGCCAGGAUGUUGGCUUAGAAGCAGCCAUCAUUUAAAGAAAGCGUAAUAGCUCACUGGUCGAGUCGGCCUGCGCGGAAGAUGUAACGGGGCUAAACCAUGCACCGAAGCUGCGGCAGCGACGCUUAUGCGUUGUUGGGUAGGGGAGCGUUCUGUAAGCCUGUGAAGGUGGCCUGUGAGGGUUGCUGGAGGUAUCAGAAGUGCGAAUGCUGACAUAAGUAACGAUAAAGCGGGUGAAAAGCCCGCUCGCCGGAAGACCAAGGGUUCCUGUCCAACGUUAAUCGGGGCAGGGUGAGUCGACCCCUAAGGCGAGGCCGAAAGGCGUAGUCGAUGGGAAACAGGUUAAUAUUCCUGUACUUGGUGUUACUGCGAAGGGGGGACGGAGAAGGCUAUGUUGGCCGGGCGACGGUUGUCCCGGUUUAAGCGUGUAGGCUGGUUUUCCAGGCAAAUCCGGAAAAUCAAGGCUGAGGCGUGAUGACGAGGCACUACGGUGCUGAAGCGACAAAUGCCCUGCUUCCAGGAAAAGCCUCUAAGCAUCAGGUAACAUUAAAUCGUACCCCAAACCGACACAGGUGGUCAGGUAGAGAAUACCAAGGCGCUUGAGAGAACUCGGGUGAAGGAACUAGGCAAAAUGGUGCCGUAACUUCGGGAGAAGGCACGCUGAUAUGUAGGUGAAGCGACUUGCUCGUGGAGCUGAAAUCAGUCGAAGAUACCAGCUGGCUGCAACUGUUUAUUAAAAACACAGCACUGUGCAAACACGAAAGUGGACGUAUACGGUGUGACGCCUGCCCGGUGCCGGAAGGUUAAUUGAUGGGGUUAGCGGUAACGCGAAGCUCUUGAUCGAAGCCCCGGUAAACGGCGGCCGUAACUAUAACGGUCCUAAGGUAGCGAAAUUCCUUGUCGGGUAAGUUCCGACCUGCACGAAUGGCGUAAUGAUGGCCAGGCUGUCUCCACCCGAGACUCAGUGAAAUUGAACUCGCUGUGAAGAUGCAGUGUACCCGCGGCAAGACGGAAAGACCCCGUGAACCUUUACUAUAGCUUGACACUGAACAUUGAGCCUUGAUGUGUAGGAUAGGUGGGAGGCUUUGAAGUGUGGACGCCAGUCUGCAUGGAGCCGACCUUGAAAUACCACCCUUUAAUGUUUGAUGUUCUAACGUGGGCCCCUUACCGGGGUUGCGGACAGUGUCUGGUGGGUAGUUUGACUGGGGCGGUCUCCUCCUAAAGAGUAACGGAGGAGCACGAAGGUUGGCUAAUCCUGGUCGGACAUCAGGAGGUUAGUGCAAUGGCAUAAGCCAGCUUGACUGCGAGCGUGACGGCGCGAGCAGGUGCGAAAGCAGGUCAUAGUGAUCCGGUGGUUCUGAAUGGAAGGGCCAUCGCUCAACGGAUAAAAGGUACUCCGGGGAUAACAGGCUGAUACCGCCCAAGAGUUCAUAUCGACGGCGGUGUUUGGCACCUCGAUGUCGGCUCAUCACAUCCUGGGGCUGAAGUAGGUCCCAAGGGUAUGGCUGUUCGCCAUUUAAAGUGGUACGCGAGCUGGGUUUAGAACGUCGUGAGACAGUUCGGUCCCUAUCUGCCGUGGGCGCUGGAGAACUGAGGGGGGCUGCUCCUAGUACGAGAGGACCGGAGUGGACGCAUCACUGGUGUUCGGGUUGUCAUGCCAAUGGCACUGCCCGGUAGCUAAAUGCGGAAGAGAUAAGUGCUGAAAGCAUCUAAGCACGAAACUUGC